GCAAACUUGGUCAUUUAGAGGAAGUAAAAGUCGUAACAAGGUAACCGUAGGUGAACCUGCGGUUGGAUCAUUAACGAAAUUAGAAGGUCUUAAGGCCUUUCUAACACUUGUGAACUUGUACAUGUCUCUGGCGGCUGCUAACGCUCCGCUUGUUUAUUUGUAAACUUGUAGAAAUAUAUGUCUAGACCUUAAAAAAGUUUAAUUUAAAACAACUUUUGACAACGGAUCUCUAGGCUCUCGCAUCGAUGAAGAACGCAGC
rnacentral:misc_RNA from 1 species